CAAUGAACUGCCAAACAAAGCCAAGUUAUUUUAGUCAAGGUAAUGUAUAUAUUAAAGCCUAUGGAUAAAUUAAAAAUGCUAUACAAAUUGUCUAAUUAAUUUUUAGAUGAUAUGUUCUCAAGUUUUAGUGAACCACAUUCUACAAGUAAGUUGCAACUAAAGCCAACUAAAGUAUAUAUGUGUGAUUGUGUGAGUAAGUGAAUUUAAGCCAAAACAAAUCUAUCAGUUGAAGAAAUGUGACUAAACCUGGUAAAUCUUGCAAUUUAAUACCACUGUAUAAAGAUCAACAAAGUGAAUAAUAUAAUUGUAGGUAUAUCUACAGUCAAUUCAGUCACACCCACAUCACCCACACCUUCUGAUGAAGAGUUCGUAACCAUUUCAGAAACAAUCCUCUUGCCUCUAGUCCACAAUCUAGCAACCAAGACUCAUCCAUUCCUCCCCUUGUCAGAAGUGAGUGGUUUUAUUGGUUGUAUACCCGUUUAAGAAUACUCAGCAAUCCUAAUUUUUUAGAAUAGCAUAGUCAUUUUUUUAGCAAUGCAGCUAAAACUGUAAGUUUUAUUUUUAGCUGCACCAACGUCACUGGUGUCAAGCAGAGUAGCAAGUGACAUUGAUUGGAUUGUGAACUACAAAUUGCCGAGAAUGCCAUUUCACAUUAAGGCAGGUAUAGAUAGCUGCAGUGAAAACAUAGGAAAUCUCAGUUCAUCAAUGAGCAGAGAAAUUAACAAAUGGUUAUUUAACGACAUCAUACAAUUACACUGUAAGUGAUUGAGGAUAGUUAACAUCAAAAUGAACAUUUUUCCUCAUUUAUAAACUUAUGGUAAUUUCUAGUUAUCCAUCUUCACUAGAGUACAACACUGUGGCAAUCCAAUUGGUACGGGAAUUCCCAUUUUUGGCUGACAAAAAUGACAAGCAAAUUGGGAACAUGGGUAGAUGGUAUCAGACAAAAGUUCAGAGAUGCAAGGAGGCCAAUGACUCAUAUCCCUGAAGUUAUGGAAAUGAAAAAGAGAUUUGGAACGAUUUGGAACAAAACAUUCUAGACCUGCUGUAAUAGAAAAAGAAACAACUCCAGCUAAACGAAGACUGUUACAGACAGAGGAUAUUGGGGAAGAUGAACACAGUAUGGCAGCACACACAAAAUACAUGGAAAAGGAACUUAAAAAAAAUGUGAAAAAUGUAGAUCUUCUCAGAGACAGAAUGAAUCGAACGUUCUUGUUUCGACAAAAAGAAUGUCAAGAUGGUGCAAUGACAGUGAAUGCCAUUCUUGAAACAUAUCCUGCAUUUCAAUAUCCUGUUGUGGUGAGUAAGCAACGAGUAAUUAAGGAUUGUUUUGUAAACUUUACUGCAAUGGAACAGUUAUUCACAAUAAAAAUACUUAAGAUUACCCAUG